GCUUAGUGGCGAACGGGUGAGUAACACGUGAAGAACCUGCCCUUCAGUGGGGGACAACAGUUGGAAACGACUGCUAAUACCGCAUAAGACCACAGUACCGCAUGGUACAGUGAUCAAAGGAUUUAUUCGCUGAAGGAUGGCUUCGCGUCCGAUUAGGUAGUUGGUGAGGUAACGGCCCACCAAGCCUUCGAUGGAUAGGGGUUCUGAGAGGAAGGUCCCCCACAUUGGAACUGAGACACGGUCCAAACUCCUACGGGAGGCAGCAUG
rnacentral:rRNA from 1 species